rnacentral:rRNA from 1 species
CCUACGGGAGGCAGCAGUGGGGAAUAUUGGACAAUGGGCGAAAGCCUGAUCCAGCAAUGCCGCGUGAGUGAUGAAGGCCUUAGGGUUGUAAAGCUCUUUUACCAGGGAUGAUAAUGACAGUACCUGGAGAAUAAGCUCCGGCUAACUCCGUGCCAGCAGCCGCGGUAAUACGGAGGGAGCUAGUGUUGUUCGGAAUUACUGGGCGUAAAGCGUACGUAGGCGGUUAUUCAAGUCAGAGGUGAAAGCCUGGAGCUCAACUCCAGAACUGCCUUUGAAACUAGGUAGCUAGAAUCACGGAGAGGUUAGUGGAAUUCCGAGUGUAGAGGUGAAAUUCGUAGAUAUUCGGAAGAACACCAGUGGCGAAGGCGACUAACUGGACGUGUAUUGACGCUGAGGUACGAAAGCGUGGGGAGCAAACAGGAUUAGAUACCCUGGUAGUCCACGCCGUAAACGAUGAUAACUAGCUGUUCGGUCUCUACGAGACUGAGUGGCGCAGCUACGCAUAAGUUAUCCGUCCGUCGGGAGGUACGGUCGCGAAGAAGUUAAAACGUUAAAGGUAAAGUUAAGUACGGUCGUUGAGUAGUUGCGACGGCGACGACGAGGGAGGAGG